rnacentral:rRNA from 1 species
GACGAACGCUGGCGGCGUGCCUAAUACAUGCAAGUCGAGCGGACAGAAGGGAGCUUGCUCCCGGAUGUUAGCGGCGGACGGGUGAGUAACACGUGGGUAACCUGCCUGUAAGACUGGGAUAACUCCGGGAAACCGGAGCUAAUACCGGAUAGUUCCUUGAACCGCAUGGUUCAAGGAUGAAAGACGGUUUCGGCUGUCACUUACAGAUGGACCCGCGGCGCAUUAGCUAGUUGGUGAGGUAACGGCUCACCAAGGCGACGAUGCGUAGCCGACCUGAGAGGGUGAUCGGCCACACUGGGACUGAGACACGGCCCAGACUCCUACGGGAGGCAGCAGUAGGGAAUCUUCCGCAAUGGACGAAAGUCUGACGGAGCAACGCCGCGUGAGUGAUGAAGGUUUUCGGAUCGUAAAGCUCUGUUGUUAGGGAAGAACAAGUGCAAGAGUAACUGCUUGCACCUUGACGGUACCUAACCAGAAAGCCACGGCUAACUACGUGCCAGCAGCCGCGGUAAUACGUAGGUGGCAAGCGUUGUCCGGAAUUAUUGGGCGUAAAGGGCUCGCAGGCGGUUUCUUAAGUCUGAUGUGAAAGCCCCCGGCUCAACCGGGGAGGGUCAUUGGAAACUGGGAAACUUGAGUGCAGAAGAGGAGAG